AACGGACUCGAGUACUUUCGUGGAGUACGCAGUGGUGUAUCAAUUCUUGGGACCUCGGGUAGAACCAAAGAUAUAUCUUUGAAAAUAAGAGACUUUCACUGUGAGGCAAAGAGUGAAUAGCCGUCUAAGACGUCGUUCCUGAGCAGAAAAUUAUAUCGCAAGGUCAUACCAUGGAGUUAAUAAUAAUAUUAACUUGAAAAAAAUUUACUUCAAUUAGAAAAUUUUUAAUCUAUCAAAUUCAUUUUAUAAUUAUUGAAAUUUUUGUUCUUUUUAAUUAAUUAAUUUUAAUAAAUUAUCAUUUUUUGAAACUAUUAUUUAUUGUAAAUCAUUUGUUUUUUUAAUUAUCACUAAAAGUUCAAAUAUUUAAUAACAAAAAUUGUUUUCUCUAUUUUAAUAUAUUUUACCAAAAAAAUGGAAUUCUUUUAAAUUUUCAAAAUAAAUAAAAAUUUAACACGAUUGUUAUGGUAAUGAUGUUAGUGAGUCUACUAAAAUCUCGCGAAGUGAACCAGAAAGUUCAGGCGUGUCUUCUACUAUACGUAUGAACCUUUCACAAAUAACAAGGCACGAAGAAUUUUUUUUCUCAUCGCAUUACAUGAGAAACACACACCUGUUGUUCAUAAAAGUGAGGAGGUCGCGUUAAAGAGAAUUUAAAUAUUUUAUAUAUAUAUAUACGCAAGACAAAAACGCAAUGAAAACAAUGAGAUAUAACAUAACAUGUGACAUAAAUAUAUAAUAUAGUUUGUACCCAACAGACAUUUAAAAAAAUUGUAUCUAUUUUUUUUCUAGAUUUCAAAAAUGAAAAGAAAAUCAAAAAAAAACAGACAAAAUAAUUGUUCUUUCUUGUUCUUAAUUCAAAAAAUUGUAAUUUUAAAACUUGUUUAUUUAAAUUACAAUUUUUUGUUCUGCCAAAUUCAUAAGAAUUGUAUUUAAUUUUGUAAUAAUAAUUUCAAAAAAUAAUAAUUUCAAAACAAAAUUAAAAUACAAAAACAGUGUCUGUGAAAAAAGUUAUGUUAAAAUUAUUAUUGUAGUAAAAAAUCCACUCUUUCUGUAGACAAUGUUUUAUUUAACAGUUGAUUAAAAAACGAAGAUGUUUUUUCAAUAACUUACCAAUACUAUCGUUAAACGUAACAAAAGUUGGUAAUUUAUCUAUUCUUGUAGUUGCUGAGUUUUAAUUAUUUGUUUUUCAUGACUUGUAAAUAAUUUUUAAAAAAAAGUCACAAAGCAAAAGUAAGAAAGAUAAUUUUCUAAUAAUAUUAUUGAAACUAUUUUAAUAUUGUCUGCAUUUUAUGUGUCAUUUUCGAAAUCCUUGGGAUUCUUGCGUUGGUUAUUUUUGUAUGUUUUUUCA